UGCACUGCUGGCUGGUUGCCAGUCUUCCUGUACUUUAUGCUGUGGCUGUUGUUUGGUUAUUAAACUGUAGAGUUUUGUGAGGUGGAGGUUGAGGACCUUAGAGUGAAGAAACCGAUCCACCUGAGCUACGACGUCGAUGGCAUCGACCCUCUGUUACCCCGGCAACAGGGACACCUACAGAGAGGGAGUCUACAUAGCCGAACACCUCGGUCAGACAGGUCUUCUGUCGGCAGUGGACAUGGUGGAGGUGAAUCCUCUGAGGGUCAAA